AUUGCUUUAUGUGGAGAAAAGUUAUGCACAUAACAUAACUUCCAGGCCUUGAGAGCUUGUUGAUAGAAAUUAGAUAAUGCCACAGGCAGUUUGCUCAUGUGUGAUUACUCGAUUA